GCAUGGGUGGUUCAGUGGUAGAAUUCUCGCCUCCCACGCAGGAGAGCCGGGUCCGAUUCCCUACCAAUGCA
rnacentral:tRNA from 1 species